UACGAAGGGGGCUAGCGUUGCUCGGAAUCACUGGGCGUAAAGGGUGCGUAGGCGGGUCUUUAAGUCAGAGGUGAAAUCCUGGAGCUCAACUCCAGAACUGCCUUUGAUACUGAGGAUCUUGAGUACGGGAGAGGUGAGUGGAACUGCGAGUGUAGAGGUGAAAUUCGUAGAUAUUCGGAGGAACACCAGUGGCGAAGGCGCUCACUGGUCCGGUACUGACGCUGAGGUGCGAAAGCGUGGGAGCAACAGG
rnacentral:rRNA from 1 species